CUUUGACCUCAAAUCAGGUAGGAC
rnacentral:rRNA from 1 species